rnacentral:lncRNA from 1 species
UAAGUCCUACGGUGUCAUCAACCAAUUGGUAAUCACUGAAGGCGUGAUGGCCACAUUCGUGGGCAUUAACCCAAAUUCCAGUGCAAACACAACCCUGGCAAAUCCAGUAAAUAGGCCAUGCAAUGUAGCAAUAUGGUGAUGGAAUGAGGUGGAAGUAAGUGUUUGCAACGUAGUACAUGAUGGAUACGAGUAUGAGGUCAUACACAACAUAUGAAAAUGAGCGGAUGAGAGACCUUUGAAAGCAGUGAGGUGGGAUAGCCUUCUUAAUAUCACCAACUGUGAAAGGGGGCUUCGAGGUUGGUACCUUUUGAAGAGGAUUCUUCUUUACUUCAGUCCCGCCAUUUGGAGCAGACAUACGACCACCAGCUCCCAUUUUCGCUACGCUGCCUCUUCAAUCC